CCAGGUUUCCCUAUCAGGACCGUGGUAGACCACCACGUUGAUAGGCCGGGUGUGGAAGCGCAGUAAUGCGUGAAGCUAACCGGUACUAAUCGUCCGA
rfam:Rhodospirillum photometricum DSM 122 draft genome sequence